ensembl:snRNA U6 U6 spliceosomal RNA
GGGCUCACUUCAGCAGUACACAUACUAAAAUUGGAAUGAUACAGAGGAGAUUAGCGUGACCCCUGCUCAAGGAUGACAAGCAAAUUUGUGAAGUAUUCUAUGUUUUG